rnacentral:rRNA from 1 species
UGGGGAAUAUUGCACAAUGGGCGAAAGCCUGAUGCAGCAACGCCGCGUGAGGGACGACGGCCUUCGGGUUGUAAACCUCUUUUAGCAAGGAAGAAGCGAAAGUGACGGUACUUGCAGAAAAAGCGCCGGCUAACUACGUGCCAGCAGCCGCGGUAAUACGUAGGGCGCAAGCGUUAUCCGGAAUUAUUGGGCGUAAAGAGCUCGUAGGCGGUUUGUCGCGUCCGCUGUGAAAACCCGAGGCUCAACCUCGGGCCUGCAGUGGGUACGGGCAGACUAGAGUGCGGUAGGGGAGAUUGGAACUCCUGGUGUAGCGGUGGAAUGCGCAGAUAUCAGGAAGAACACCGAUGGCGAAGGCAGAUCUCUGGGCCGUAACUGACGCUGAGGAGCGAAAGGGUGGGGAGCAAACAGGCUUAGAUACCCUGGUAGUCCACCCCGUAAACGUUGGGAACUAGUUGUGGGGUCCAUUCCACGGAUUCCGUGACGCAGCUAACGCAUUAAGUUCCCCGCCUGGGGAGUACGGCCGCAAGGCUAAAACUUAAAUGAAUUGACGGGGUCAUAGCUGUUUCCU